UCUCUGGUGGCUCAGACGGUAAAGCGUCUACCUACAAUGUGGGAGACCCAGGUUCAAACCCUGGGUCGGGAA
rnacentral:tRNA from 1 species